AACGAACGCUGGCGGCAUGCCUAACACAUGCAAGUCGAACGAGACCUUCGGGUCUAGUGGCGCACGGGUGCGUAACGCGUGGGAAUCUGCCCUUGGGCUCGGAAUAACAGUUAGAAAUGACUGCUAAUACCGAAUGAUGUCUUCGGACCAAAGAUUUAUCGCCCAGGGAUGAGCCCGCGUCGGAUUAGCUAGUUGGUGAGGUAAAGGCUCACCAAGGCGACGAUCCGUAGCUGGUCUGAGAGGAUGAUCAGCCACACUGGGACUGAGACACGGCUCAGACUCCUACGGGAGGCAGCAGUGGGGAAUAUUGGACAAUGGGCGAAAGCCUGAUCCAGCAAUGCCGCGUGAGUGAUGAAGGCCUUAGGGUUGUAAAGCUCUUUUACCCGGGAUGAUAAUGACAGUACCGGGAGAAUAAGCCCCGGCUAACUCCGUGCCAGCCGCCGCGGUAAGAC
rnacentral:rRNA from 1 species